AAUCAACGCUGGCGGCGUGCCUCAGACAUGCAAGUCGAACGAUUAAGACUUCCUUCGGGAAGUGUAUAAAGUGGCGCACGGGCGAGUAACACGUAAGUAAUCUACCUUCGAGUGGGGAAUAACGUUCGGAAACGAACGCUAAUACCGCAUAAUGCAGCGGCACCUAAUGGUGACAGUUGUUAAAGGAGCAAUUCGCUUGAAGAGGAGCUUUCGGCAGAUUAGCUAGUUGGUAAGGUAAUGGCUUACCAAGGCUACGAUCUGUAACCGGUCUAAGAGGACGGUCGGUCACACUGACACUGAAUAACGGGUCAGACUCCUACGGGAGGCAGCAGUCGGGAAUUUUGGGCAAUGGGCGAAAGCCUGACCCAGCAACGCCGCGUGAAGGAUGAAGUAUUUCGGUAUGUAAACCUCGAAAGAAUGGGAAGAAUCAAUGACGGUACCAUUUAUAAGGUCCGGCUAACUACGUGCCAGCCGCCGCCGUAACAC
rnacentral:rRNA from 1 species